rnacentral:rRNA from 1 species
UACGGAGGAUCCGAGCGUUAUCCGGAUUUAUUGGGUUUAAAGGGUGCGUAGGCGGCCUAUUAAGUCAGGGGUGAAAGACGGUAGCUUAACUAUCGCAGUGCCUUUGAUACUGAUGGGCUUGAAUGUACUUGAGGUAAGCGGAAUAUGUCAUGUAGCGGUGAAAUGCUUAGAUAUGACAUAGAACACCAAUUGCGAAGGCAGCUUACUACGGAUCGAUUGACACUGAGGCACGAAAGCGUGGGGAUCAAACAGG